rnacentral:rRNA from 1 species
CCUACGGGAGGCAGCAGUAGGGAAUCUUCCACAAUGGGCGAAAGCCUGAUGGAGCAACGCCGCGUGGGUGAAGAAGGUCUUCGGAUCGUAAAACCCUGUUGUUAGAGAAGAAAGUGCGUGAGAGUAACUGUUCACGUGUCGACGGUAUCGAACCAGAAAGCCACGGCUAACUACGUGCCAGCAGCCGCGGGAAUACGUAGGUGGCAAGCGUUAGCCGGAUUUAUGGGGCGUAAAGGGAACGCAGGCGGUCUUUUAAGUCUGAGGGGAAAGCCUUCGGCUUAACCGGAGUAGUGCAUUGGAAACUGGGAGACUUGAGUGCAGAAGAGGCGAGUGGAACUCCAUGUGUAGCGGUGAACUGCGUAGAUAUAUGG